rnacentral:rRNA from 1 species
GAUGAACGCUGGCGGCGUGCCUAAUACAUGCAAGUCGAGCGAACAGACGAGGAGCUUGCUUCUCUGACGUUAGCGGCGGACGGGUGAGUAACACGUGGAUAACCUACCUAUAAGACUGGGAUAACUUCGGGAAACCGGAGCUAAUACCGGAUAAUAUAUUGAACCGCAUGGUUCAAUAGUGAAAGACGGUUUUGCUGUCACUUAUAGAUGGAUCCGCGCCGCAUUAGCUAGUUGGUAAGGUAACGGCUUACCAAGGCAACGAUGCGUAGCCGACAUGAGAGGGUGAUCGGCCGCACUGGAACUGAGACACGGUCCAGACUCCUACGGGAGGCAGCAGUAGGGAAUCUUCCGAAAUGGGCGAAAGCCUGACGGAGCAACGCCGCGUGAGUGAUGAAGGUCUUCGGAUCGUAAAACUCUGUUAUUAGGGAAGAACAAAUGUGUAAGUAACUAUGCACGUCUUGACGGUACCUAAUCAGAAAGCCACGGCUAACUACGUGCCAGCCGCCGCUGUAA